rnacentral:ribozyme from 1 species
CAACAUCGCACCUAAACCUACAAACGCAACGAAAGAAAGCACGAAGAAAGAAAGACGAACGAACGAACGAAAUGAGACACGCUACUUACGCUUCUAUUAUUAAAGUCGCAUUAUCUAUUUUCCGAUUAUAUAGUAUUCUUAUAAUUGAUGU